rnacentral:rRNA from 1 species
UACGUAGGUGGCAAGCGUUGUCCGGAAUUAUUGGGCGUAAAGCGCGCGCAGGCGGUUCUUUAAGUCUGAUGUGAAAGCCCACGGCUCAACCGUGGAGGGUCAUUGGAAACUGGAGAACUUGAGUACAGAAGAGGAAAGCGGAAUUCCACGUGUAGCGGUGAAAUGCGUAGAGAUGUGGAGGAACACCAGUAGCGAAGGCGGCACUCUGGGCCGGUACUGACGCUGAGGAGCGAAAGCGUGGGGAGCAAACAGG